rnacentral:rRNA from 1 species
AUUGAACGCUGGCGGCAGGCCUAACACAUGCAAGUCGAACGGUAACAGGAAGCAGCUUGCUGCUUCGCUGACGAGUGGCGGACGGGUGAGUAAUGUCUGGGAAGCUGCCUGAUGGAGGGGGAUAACUACUGGAAACGGUAGCUAAUACCGCAUAAUGUCGCAAGACCAAAGAGGGGGACCUUCGGGCCUCUUGCCAUCGGAUGUGCCCAGAUGGGAUUAGCUUGUUGGUGGGGUAACGGCUCACCAAGGCGACGAUCCCUAGCUGGUCUGAGAGGAUGACCAGCCACACUGGAAUUGAGACACGGUCCAGACUCCUACGGGAGGCAGCAGUGGGGAAUAUUGCACAAUGGGCGCAAGCCUGAUGCAGCCAUGCCGCGUGUAUGAAGAAGGCCUUCGGGUUGUAAAGUACUUUCAGCGGGGAGGAAGGGAGUAAAGUUAAUACCUUUGCUCAUUGACGUUACCCGCAGAAGAAGCACCGGCUAACUCCGUG